CACAGCCUCAAAUAACAUGUACACCUCACAUGCAACCGAGAUAGAUUUUAUUCAUGACACUGGGAAGAGAAACCACACGUACUAUUUACAAGACUCUGAAGUUAGG